rnacentral:rRNA from 1 species
GUGCCAGCCGCCGCGGUAAUACCGGCAGCACGAGUGAUGGCCGAUAUUAUUGGGCCUAAAGCGUCCGUAGCUUGCUGUGUAAGUCCAUUGGGAAAUCGACGUGCUCAACGCGUCGGCGUCCGGUGGAAACUACACGGCUUGGGGCCGAGAGACUCGACGGGUACGUCCGGGGUAGGAGUGAAAUCCUGUAAUCCUGGACGGACCACCAAUGGGGAAACCACGUCGCGAAGACGGAUCCGACAGUGAGGGACGAAAGCUAGGGUCUCGAACCGGAUUAGAUACCCGGGUAGUCC